AUACGUAGGGGGCGAGCGUUGUCAGGAAUGAUUGGGCGUAAAAGGGCGCGUAGGCGGCCCGGUAAGUCUGGAGUGAAAGUCCUGUUUUUAAGAUGGGAAUUGCUUUGGAUACUGUCGGGCUUGAGUGCAGGAGAGGUAAGUGGAAUUCCCAGUGUAGCGGUGAAAUGCGUAGAGAUUGGGAGGAACACCAGUGGCGAAGGCGACUUACAGGACUGUAACCGACGCUGAGGCGCGAAAGUGUGGGGAGCAAACAGGGUUAGAUACCCUGGUAGUCCACACUGUAAACGAUGAAUGCUAGGUGUAGGGGGUAUCGACCCCUUCUGUGCCGCAGUCAACACAAUAAGCAUUCCGCCUGGGGAGUACGGCCGCAAGGUUGAAACUCAAAGGAAUUGACGGGG
rnacentral:rRNA from 1 species